GCCCCGGUAGCUCAAAGGUAGUAGGGUUGCGUCGUAAUUACGAUUACGAAUUACGGCAUUUUUUGAGUUACGAAUUACGAUUCCGAAAAUUUUUUAAAAAUUACAAAUUACGAAUUACGAUUACGAAAAAAAAUUUUCGAUUACGACGCAACUCUGAAUGGUAGAGCUCCUGCAUAUGGUUAGCAAAAUGCCUAGCAACAACUAGCAGGUGGUCGCAGGUUCGAAUCCUGCCCGGUGGCU